CGGGUGAGUAACACGUGGGUGACCUGCCCUUAGCUCUGGGAUAAGCCUGGGAAACUGGGUCUAAUACCGGAUAUGACUCCAUGACGCAUGUUGUGGGGUGGAAAGCCUUGUGCGGCUAGGGAUGGGCCCGCGGCCUAUCAGCUUGUUGGUGGGGUGAUAGCCUACCAAGGCGACGACGGGUAGCCGGCCUGAGAGGGCGACCGGCCACACUGGGACUGAGACACGGCCCAG
rnacentral:rRNA from 1 species